rnacentral:rRNA from 1 species
AGCGUACACGGUGGAUGCCCUGGCAGUCAGAGGCGAUGAAGGACGUGCUAAUCUGCGAUAAGCGUCGGUAAGGUGAUAUGAACCGUUAUAACCGGCGAUUUCCGAAUGGGGAAACCCAGUGUGUUUCGACACACUAUCAUUAACUGAAUCCAUAGGUUAAUGAGGCGAACCGGGGGAACUGAAACAUCUAAGUACCCCGAGGAAAAGAAAUCAACCGAGAUUCCCCCAGUAGCGGCGAGCGAACGGGGAGGAGCCCAGAGCCUGAAUCAGUGUGUGUGUUAGUGGAAGCGUCUGGAAAGGCGCGCGAUACAGGGUGACAGCCCCGUACACAAAAAUGCACAUACUGUGAGCUCGAUGAGUAGGGCGGGACACGUGGUAUCCUGUCUGAAUAUGGGGGGACCAUCCUCCAAGGCUAAAUACUCCUGACUGACCGAUAGUGAACCAGUACCGUGAGGGAAAGGCGAAAAGAACCCCGGCGAGGGGAGUGAAAAAGAACCUGAAACCGUGUACGUACAAGCAGUGGGAGCACGCUUCGGCGUGUGACUGCGUACCUUUUGUAUAAUGGGUCAGCGACUUAUAUUCUGUAGCAAGGUUAACCGAAUAGGGGAGCCGAAGGGAAACCGAGUCUUAACUGGGCGUUAAGUUGCAGGGUAUAGACCCGAAACCCGGUGAUCUAGCCAUGGGCAGGUUGAAGGUUGGGUAACACUAACUGGAGGACCGAACCGACUAAUGUUGAAAAAUUAGCGGAUGACUUGUGGCUGGGGGUGAAAGGCCAAUCAAACCGGGAGAUAGCUGGUUCUCCCCGAAAGCUAUUUAGGUAGCGCCUCGUGAAUUCAUCUCCGGGGGUAGAGCACUGUUUCGGCAAGGGGGUCAUCCCGACUUACCAACCCGAUGCAAACUGCGAAUACCGGAGAAUGUUAUCACGGGAGACACACGGCGGGUGCUAACGUCCGUCGUGAAGAGGGAAACAACCCAGACCGCCAGCUAAGGUCCCAAAGUCAUGGUUAAGUGGGAAACGAUGUGGGAAGGCCCAGACAGCCAGGAUGUUGGCUUAGAAGCAGCCAUCAUUUAAAGAAAGCGUAAUAGCUCACUGGUCGAGUCGGCCUGCGCGGAAGAUGUAACGGGGCUAAACCAUGCACCGAAGCUGCGGCAGCGACACUGUGUGUUGUUGGGUAGGGGAGCGUUCUGUAAGCCUGUGAAGGUGUACUGUGAGGUAUGCUGGAGGUAUCAGAAGUGCGAAUGCUGACAUAAGUAACGAUAAAGCGGGUGAAAAGCCCGCUCGCCGGAAGACCAAGGGUUCCUGUCCAACGUUAAUCGGGGCAGGGUGAGUCGACCCCUAAGGCGAGGCCGAAAGGCGUAGUCGAUGGGAAACAGGUUAAUAUUCCUGUACUUGGUGUUACUGCGAAGGGGGGACGGAGAAGGCUAUGUUGGCCGGGCGACGGUUGUCCCGGUUUAAGCGUGUAGGCUGGUUUUCCAGGCAAAUCCGGAAAAUCAAGGCUGAGGCGUGAUGACGAGGCACUACGGUGCUGAAGCAACAAAUGCCCUGCUUCCAGGAAAAGCCUCUAAGCAUCAGGUAACAUCAAAUCGUACCCCAAACCGACACAGGUGGUCAGGUAGAGAAUACCAAGGCGCUUGAGAGAACUCGGGUGAAGGAACUAGGCAAAAUGGUGCCGUAACUUCGGGAGAAGGCACGCUGAUAUGUAGGUGAAGUCCCUCGCGGAUGGAGCUGAAAUCAGUCGAAGAUACCAGCUGGCUGCAACUGUUUAUUAAAAACACAGCACUGUGCAAACACGAAAGUGGACGUAUACGGUGUGACGCCUGCCCGGUGCCGGAAGGUUAAUUGAUGGGGUUAGCGGUAACGCGAAGCUCUUGAUCGAAGCCCCGGUAAACGGCGGCCGUAACUAUAACGGUCCUAAGGUAGCGAAAUUCCUUGUCGGGUAAGUUCCGACCUGCACGAAUGGCGUAAUGAUGGCCAGGCUGUCUCCACCCGAGACUCAGUGAAAUUGAACUCGCUGUGAAGAUGCAGUGUACCCGCGGCAAGACGGAAAGACCCCGUGAACCUUUACUAUAGCUUGACACUGAACAUUGAGCCUUGAUGUGUAGGAUAGGUGGGAGGCUUAGAAGUGUGGACGCCAGUCUGCAUGGAGCCGACCUUGAAAUACCACCCUUUAAUGUUUGAUGUUCUAACGUUGACCCGUGAUCCGGGUUGCGGACAGUGUCUGGUGGGUAGUUUGACUGGGGCGGUCUCCUCCUAAAGAGUAACGGAGGAGCACGAAGGUUGGCUAAUCCUGGUCGGACAUCAGGAGGUUAGUGCAAUGGCAUAAGCCAGCUUGACUGCGAGCGUGACGGCGCGAGCAGGUGCGAAAGCAGGUCAUAGUGAUCCGGUGGUUCUGAAUGGAAGGGCCAUCGCUCAACGGAUAAAAGGUACUCCGGGGAUAACAGGCUGAUACCGCCCAAGAGUUCAUAUCGACGGCGGUGUUUGGCACCUCGAUGUCGGCUCAUCACAUCCUGGGGCUGAAGUAGGUCCCAAGGGUAUGGCUGUUCGCCAUUUAAAGUGGUACGCGAGCUGGGUUUAGAACGUCGUGAGACAGUUCGGUCCCUAUCUGCCGUGGGCGCUGGAGAACUGAGGGGGGCUGCUCCUAGUACGAGAGGACCGGAGUGGACGCAUCACUGGUGUUCGGGUUGUCAUGCCAAUGGCACUGCCCGGUAGCUAAAUGCGGAAGAGAUAAGUGCUGAAAGCAUCUAAGCACGAAACUUGCCCCGAGAUGAGUUCU